rnacentral:lncRNA from 1 species
GUGCUGGCAGACAGGUUGCAUGGGUUUUUACAGGUAACUACAGGGCCAGGACUGGAGCAGACAGCAGACCUGGCUGGGCCUGGGGUCUCCUGCUAAGGACUGAGGCAUUGAACCUUACGCGUCGGGAUUAGCCCAUGCAUCUUUGGACUUCAUUUGGCCUUUGGAGUGCCACCUUACUAGGUGCUUUGACAAUUCUGUGAGAAUAUGAAGUUGAGAGUUGCAGCUAAUUAUUUGAAGGUGGAUGGACCUGGGAGAGGCAGUUUCAGAGAAAAGCAAAAAGGAAAGUCCAGGCUCUGCAAACCAAAGUUUCAGAAGCUGUGGCUUGUCUGA